rnacentral:lncRNA from 1 species
GACAUCGAAUAAUUUUUCAGGGUUAAUUUUCUUCCUCUUGUCUAAUUUUUUUUUUUUUAAGUUUGGAGUCAUUGUCUGAAGAUUAUUAGACCCAUCCUAUCCUGGCAAGGAUGCUGUAUCCCAAGGAUUCUGCUUCCAUCCCAAGGACAGCUCUUCUGCACUUUGCCAAUUUCUGUGCUCCUUCUACCGACCCUGAGUUUUUAUUUAGAAGGUCAAAUGCUUGAGAGAGAACUUGAUAAAACAGCCAAGAGGGACACGAAGAUCUGAACUCUUUGGUCUCCUUUGGCUUUUGACCUGAAUCCCAUGUACACUUGAGUUUAGCAGGCCUCAGAAUGACCAAAGACAAGAAGCUAAUUGGCCUUUGCCUUCUCAGAAAGGUCCUCUUUCUCAAGUUCUCUGGACCAUCAAGCUUUCUCCAGCAAUCUGAAGUGCAAUGAUUGAACACAGCUUAAUUAAUGAUGACAGGAGGCAGCACUGAGAAACCUUGCCCUUGGACUAAGAUCAAGAAACUCAGAGCAAAUGCAAAGAAGAUUUUGAGUGAGGUCUUCUUCAGCUCUGAGGAACACUGUGUUACUUUCACCAAAAGACAUGCUUCCCUCACCGCAGGCCUGGGGGCUGUAGCUGGGCACUGCCAGUGGAAACCCAGAAAGGUGGAAGUCCCUGGAGCUCUGCAGAAAGCCAGGCCCCCAGCUCUUUCCCCUUGGCUUUAUGCCAAACUCACAAAUUCCUUAACUAAGACAUCCGUUCCCAACACAAACACAGAACCUUCGAAGUCUCUUGAUUAUUCCUUAUCAGUCCCUUUUCUAUGUUUCAUAGAGGAAACGUAUUACUUUAGGGGAAAAAGCAGACUCCCUUUUCUCAGGACAACAAGCUCUGUAUAGUAUGCGUUUGUGGUCACCAAGAUGGCAAGGCAUGAGUCUCACUUGAGAGCCAGGAGGGUAAAUAUGAGCCUAGCAAGAAGCUUAGAACAACUCUUUAAAUAGAGUUUGGCCCUUCCUUCAGCCCCCUGCUAUUUUGGCCAAGUGUGCAAAUGGCCUCUCCAAG